ACGCAAUAUCCUGGUGGCAACAUUCACAAAAUGCGUUAGAGCAUGUCCGAAAAAAAUCGCGUGCCAUGCUCUAAUAAACAUCAAACGAACAGGUACGUGUCCAUCCAUUUUCAUCAGUCUUAGAAGCAUUAUUAGCCCACUGUUUUAUUAUGUCGGUUGAGACUAAUGUGUUUAUGACAGAAUGCACAAUUUUAAUCCUAAAAGAGAUGACUGCGCCAUCAACUGAAGUAAAGGGCAAACUAACAGGUAACGUUAACGUUAAGUGAACUGUUCACUUGUCCAUCCAUUUGUCCAUAAACAAUGCACUAUCCAUUUGUACAUAAAAUGCAGUAGUGUACUUUGUAUUAAUGAUAAUACAUUAUUUAACUAUAUGAUUUACACAUAUUACUCAGCAGUUUAGUGGAACAGCAACUGGAAUUUUUUGGAUACUUAAGUUGUGACGUUUUUCUCUGUUUUAGGUUUGUGCUGAAUUCGCUUGCAUAACAACUGUACCCUUAAUUUCAAAAUUCUUCUCAAAGCUGAAUGAACACACUUCAAAUCUUUUGAGGAUCUUUGCCAAGAGAGGUGAAGCUCAGGGGCAAUUGAUAAGGAAACUUCUCCUGCCACUUACACAGGAGGAGUGUGUCCUUGAAGCCCUGUUUGUCUACCUAAAUGAGGAUCCUGACAAUCUAAUCAAGGAGUACAUGGAUGCAGAUUUUUCCAAUGCUCAAGCUGCACUCAAAGAAAUGGUGAUCAGCGUUUUUGUCAUCAGAUGUGAAGGAUGUGAAGUUGAUGAUGAACCUGCAGAUGUUGGACUAAUUCUUGAAGGAGUUGUAAGGCGGGGAACCACCCACUGGUCCAACGGCGGUUUCCAGAGGCGUGGCUACGGAUUCUCGCGCGUUCUAAUCUUUCCUUUCACAUUAGAUAAUAAGAUUUGGUUUAAUGUAUUACUUCAUUUUUUGUUAUUGACCUCUUAUCUGACUCCAUUUAGAUAAAACAAUAAAUAUUUGCAUAGGUUGUUAUUUUACUAAUAGUAUAAUUUUGAUGGAUAUUUGUUUAGUUAUUCUGAUUAAGCUCUGGCAUUACACUCGUUCAUUCCGUUCACACAGUCGCACAAGAUCCUAGUAUAGGCCUUAUAAUUAAUAUACUGGUCUACGGUCAUAAGCGAAUCAGUAUUGGUCGCUGCCAGAGGUUGGACUAUACGCUUAAGCGGCCGCUCUCUGUGUGCUCAACUUUAA